rnacentral:rRNA from 1 species
GAUGAACGCUAGCUACAGGCUUAACACAUGCAAGUCGAGGGGCAGCAUGGUCUUAGCUUGCUAAGGCCGAUGGCGACCGGCGCACGGGUGAGUAACACGUAUCCAACCUGCCGUCUACUCUUGGACAGCCUUCUGAAAGGAAGAUUAAUACAAGAUGGCAUCAUGAGUUCACAUGUUCACAUGAUUAAAGGUAUUCCGGUAGACGAUGGGGAUGCGUUCCAUUAGAUAGUAGGCGGGGUAACGGCCCACCUAGUCUUCGAUGGAUAGGGGUUCUGAGAGGAAGGUCCCCCACAUUGGAACUGAGACACGGUCCAAACUCCUACGGGAGGCAGCAGUGAGGAAUAUUGGUCAAUGGGCGAGAGCCUGAACCAGCCAAGUAGCGUGAAGGAUGACUGCCCUACGGGUUGUAAACUUCUUUUAUAAAGGAAUAAAGUCGGGUAUGUAUACCCGUUUGCAUGUACUUUAUGAAUAAGGAUCGGCUAACUCCGUG